ensembl:lncRNA
ACAAUAUCCCACAAACACAGGUGGAAAAAAUGCUACUUAAAUAUGAUCCCCAAUUAGAGACCACGAUAGCUAGCUGCCUCUAAUUGGGAAUCAUACCAACCACCAACAUAGAAAAACUCAACUAGAACUCCACAUAGAAAAUAAUAACUAGAAACCCCCCCAGUCACGCCCUGACCAACUAUACCAGAGAAAAACAAAGGCUCUCUAUGGUCAGGGCGUGACAGAUAUGAGUGCUAGGCUAAAAAUGGGUAUUAUGUCUGAGCCAUGGACAUGCCAAACGUUGUCAAGAAGCAAUAUUUAAAUUCACUUUUUAUUCACUUGAAAAUAGAGUGAAUCAUUUGAAUCAAAUUCGAAUCAAAACCAAAGCACUUGUUUUUAAAAUCUGUCUAAAAACAGUCAGAGGCAGCAUAAUUGUUUUUAAAAGUCUGUCUAAAAACAGUCAGAGGGCAGCAUAAUUGUUUUUAAAAUCUGUCUAAAAACAGUCAGAGGCAGCAUAAUUGUUUUUAAAAGUCUGUCUAAAAACAGUCAGAGGCAGCAUAACUGUUCCCUGUGGGUGUAUAAUACUCAGCAAACGCAGACGGUGGAGGUUUUUACACAAUUACAAACAUUUUACACAAUCUGGAUGAAGAUCCAAUAUUAAGAGAAUGUCCACCAUCUUACUGUUCCCUAAUGGAAUGUUUUAGAAACAUCAUGGAUGGAACCAUCUUACUGUUCUCUAAUGGAUGGAACCAUCUUACUGUUCCCUAAUGGAAUGUUUUAGAAACAUCAUGGAUGGAAC